AGGGUUGUAGUUAAAAAACGGCUAACUUGCACUUAGACAAAACUAUAGUCUCCCCUU
rnacentral:tRNA from 1 species